UGGAAACGUCUCGAGUUAUUACCAUGAAAAUAUCAGUUGAGUCGUCGGGCCAUCAGUAAUUUCCUUAUGUCUAUCUGGCUAUUGAUUGAUAUGGCCUCACGACUCAGUUGAUAAAGCGAUGAUUAGUCAGAUAAAAGUAGGGAAAUUAUUGACGGCCUGGCAUGUUGAAUGAUAACGCGCUGAUUAGGCAGCUAGAUAUAAGGAAGUGAUUACCGUCCGACGACUCAAGUGAUAAAGCUCUGACUAGGCAGCUAUCCAAGCUAAGCCAGGAACAACCGCACGUCCCACGUGUGGGUGUGCUCCAACAAGGCCAACAGUUGCAAGGCCAAGGUCUACAUGAGCGCUAAGAACACUGUGGUGGAUUACUCCUUACUACAAAACUGAAGACAUACAUCAUGUCUUGCUAAAACAUGGGCAUCCAUAGCUAGUCUACAAUAAUUUGUCCUGCAAACGUCUCGAGUUAAAGGUUACUUGCAUUAUUAACUGAGUCAUCAGGCCAUAAGUCAUUUCUCCAUGUCAUCUGUCUAUUGAUAUGGCCUCACGGCUCAUUUGAUAACGCGCUGGCUAAUCAGAUAAGCGUAGGGACAGGGUAUUAGAGCGCGCUGUGUAUACCUUCUCAUGGUAGUAGCAAAUUAAAAUCUCUCUAAUAAAUAAUCCUAACAAAUAAUAGAUCUAAUAACAUUAAAAUCUAAUAACAAUAAAUAAUUUGAUAAGAAGGCUAAAGUAAAGUGCAUAUGCUAUGAAGUAAGUAGGCAAUAUACUUGUAAUUAAAUUCUUUUCUUGGUGACUUGGGUAUGUUUUUUAUUAGUAUGUUUCUUAUAUGUAUAUCUAAAUAUAGUUUGAAUUAAGUAUGAGUAAAACACCUUGGAACAACAAUUGAUAUAAUAUGUAUAUUAUGACAUAAUGUAUAUAAUUAUUCUAAAUUAAUAAUGAAUGGAAUAAUACUAUGGUAAAAUUAUCGUUUAGAUUUUAAUAAGCAAUUUUAAUAAUAAUGUAAUUUUCAAUAAAUUCUGCUUCAAAUGAGUCUUUGUUCUUAUUUAAAUGUUUAGUUUAUUAUGUCAACCACUGACGAUCAAGUAAGCUCACAUGCCUUCAGCGCUAAUGAGUUGACGUCCGAUAAAAUUGAAUGUGAGCUUAUCGGAUAGUGAGUGGUUAGCAUUAGGUACAAGACUUUUUAAAGUCAACUACCCUCAAUGAAUUUAGUGAAUUACCUAGUUGUAACAUAAUUACUUUCUAUAAUAUGACAUAGGUCAUGUUUAUUGACAGUGUCUGUUCGAACAGAUUUGAAAGUGGUACUUCUACGAGAAUUUUUGCAAUUAUCAACGCCACGCAAACGUAGACCUAAAACCAAAGAAGAGAUAAAAGAACAGAAACGAAUCGCAGAACGGUUGAGAUAUCGACAACUUAAAAGUGAUCCCGCAAAAAAGGCGCAGAUGGAAGAAAAAGAACGUCAAAGAUACCGAAAGCUGAAAGAGACGGGUCAACGGAAACUGGUUAAAGAUAUGAACCAUCGUGAACAUAAAGCUGCAGCCAAGAAAUGGAAACAGUAUAGUUCUACUUACCGGUCAAAGAAAAAAACUUUUGAAUGAAGUCGUGAAUUAUGUGAAUUUGUAAAGAUUACAAUUUUUUAAUAAAACCUGACCUAGCAAACCUUUUUUUUUUUUAAUUCUUUACAAGUUAGCCCUUGACCACAAUCUCACCUAUAGGUAAGUGAUGAUGCAGUAUAAGAUGGAAGCGUGCUAACUUGUUAGGAGUAGGUUGAAAUUCCACAUCCCUUAUAGUUUCUUCACGAUAUCAUACAUCAUCGCUGGCAGCACGCACUGUUCGAAGACUUUCGUCUUCAGGCACUGAGGAAUGUUUUUUCCUUUAAUAUAAUUUAUUUAAUUUGUUUCUUUUUCUAUUCGGGUUUUAUAACAGUUUUUCAAAACUUUCAGAUAUCAAAAUAGAAUAUCUUUCGAAGAAAAAAAGUUCUAAGAAAAGAAAAUAUGCACUUAAUCAUUUUCCAACAUGGGGUCUAAAGAGAAAACGUUGCAAGUAUCCGAAAUGUAGUAAAAAAACAUCUGUGUACUGUAAAGAGUGUCGUGUUGACUUAUGCUUCAAUAGAGAAAGCAAAUGUUUUUAUAAUUAUCACAGAUAAAUAAAGGUCGUAUUAUCAUCAUCAUAUCAGCAGGACACUGCAGGACAUAGGCCUUUUGUAGGUACUUCCAAACAUCACGAUCCAGAGCCGUCUGCGUCCAGUAAAUCCCUCAAAUUAAAUCAUGUUUAAUAUUCUAAAUAAUAAAAUUAGUCUUUUCUUUAAUAUAAUUUUAUAAUUUUGGUUGUUGUUGCAUUCGGUCUUGAUAUGACUUUUAAUUGUUGAAGAAAUAGAAAAUCUUUUGAAGAAAAAAAGUUCCGAAAUAAAAAAAGAUCGACUUCAUCAUUUACCUGCAUGGGGUGUAACGAGAAAACGUUGCAAGUAUCCUAAACGUAGUAAAAGUACAUAUGUACUGAACAGUGUGAACAGUGUUGUGUUGACUUUUGCUUUAAUAGAGAUAACAAAUGUAUACUUUUAUAAGUAUCACAAAUAGAAAGAGAUCUCAUUUCUAUUUUCAAUUUAAAACUUUUAAUAAAAUUCAAAAAAUGUCAAAUUUUUUUUAUUUCAAUUAGGCUUAGUUUACAAGCACUUUUGAAAGGUCAGAUAUAUGACAAAAUUUAAUUUUAUCUAAUAGUGGUAAUAAUAGACGAAAACUUAAAAUUAAAGUCACGAGGGUUCCAAUUAUAUUAAUAAAUAAUUUUGUCCAUUGUUUUUUGUUGCAAUCAAGCAAGUCUCUUGAUUUUCUUAACUAGGUUUAUCUUCAUUUAAAUAUAUUUAUGUAAUAAAAACUAAAUCUUUUCUUUCUAAUAGGUUUUCAUACUUUACAAGACUAAAGUAUAGCCGUGAUAGCCCAGUGGAUAUAACCUCAGCCUCCGAUUCCGGAGGGAAGUGGGUUCGAAUCCGGUCCGGAGCAAGCACCUCCAAUUUUUCAGUUGUGUGCAUUUUAGGAAAUUAAAUAUCAUGUGUCUCAAACGGUGAAGGAAAAACAUCGUGAAGAAACCUGCAUACCAGAGAAUAUUCCUAAUUCUCUGCGUGUGUGAAGUCUGCCAAUCCGCAUUGGGCCAGCGUGAUGGACUAUUGGCCUAACCCCUCUCAUUCUGAGAGGAUACUCGAGGUCAGCAGUGAGCCGAAUGUGGGUUGAUAAUCAUGAAGACUAUAGUAGACAACACGACAUUCUAAACCAAAGUUGGUCAAUCUAUUUCGUUACUGGCUGAAGACUAAUCUAAGUAAGCACUAGACUUACGUACAUAAUAAGGUAGCCUUCCAUCUUAAAUUGCCUCAUUACUUACCAUCAGGUGACAUUGUAGUCAAGGGCUAACUUGUAAAGAAUAAAAAAUAAAAAACUUAUAUAAAAUAUGAAAAUUCUAUAUUCAAUAAGGAUUAAUUUCAAAAUUGAAAAUGACUGAUGCGAUGCUUUUUAUGGUUUAUGGUAUAGUAAUUUCAUGGUGCUUGAAAAUUAUACUCGCUACAGAAAUAUCGUCAGGAACUUUUGUGAAAAUUUGUGUUGAACCUUUUCAGCUUCCAUCAGAACUAUUACCGAGUCAGCUAUUUAUGUUUCUAUGAAACAUUUCCUCGUUGAGCUACCUAAAAUAGGAACAAGAGGAACACGAAAGAGAUGCAUUGGCUGUUACAAAAAAUUUAAAAGUGAAGGGAAAUCUUCCAAGAUCGCUUGGAGAAUGGCCACCAACGUUCGUCAAGAAUGCACACAAUGCAAAAAAGGUACACACAAGUACAUCGCAUCAUCACGUGGUGGUCUUCUGCUGAUGAUAAACAACUAUACCUUCGCGAGAGUAAAUCGCGCUUCCCGCGUCUGGAUAUGUUCCUCACUCAAAACCACCGCCUGUCAAGCCAGGGUACGAAUGAGCUCAGACGAAACCUUUACGCAGUGUAACUUACAACAUAAUCACGAACCCCCUGAAUACUUCAGAACGUCAGAGGGGGUGUAUGUUAAAAUAAGGUCAGCAUCAUCGCAAUCACAAUCCAUGGAGGUCCAACACUAAGCAUAGGACUUCUGGGCUUUCCAAAUGUUUCUUGGCCGCCUAGUACGUUUACUAAGGAGCUAUUUUUAUCGAUCUUUUUGGCGUAUCAAGUCUGGUAGCAACUCCGCGCCACGAAAGAAGUCCUGCGGCUAAAACCUGAGCUAAAAUUGACAGCGCCAUAGACAAAUGAGAGACAUUAGCGCCGCGUCUACGUGAUUCGUUUCGUGGCGUAGUAUGCUAUAGCUACUUUUAAAUGAUUAUCAUCUCGGGUUCAUUUACGACCAUAAUAUAUUUUUUUAAUUGGCUAUGGUUUGGUCUGGCGGUACUAUUGGCCGUUGCUAGUUACCACAGUAAAUAAAUAUAUUUUCUGUGCCAUUACCGACAAAGACGUACCGCCAAGCGACUUACUGCAGGCGUCCACAGAUCCGCAUCGUACGCAUCGCACUAAUCGCACCCAAUGCAUUUUAUGUACCUGCCGUAAAAUUCAAAAUCCGUUUGAUGCGAUGCGACCGAUACGUUCGUUGCGGAUCAGUGGACGCCUAUCGUUAGCGUUCUGAUAUGACGAGUCGUAGAAAUCGUCGAGGGUACCAAUGGGCAAAAUAAACUUGCACUACUUCCAAGCAGAGUAUAAAACAAAGGUUGUACUCGUAGUAUAAUGGUUAAUAAUGAUAAUUUAUAAAUUGAUAGCAUGAUUUUAUUAAUUAAAUAAAUAUUUUUUUAUUCAACUUCUUUUAUUAUUUAACAUGUUUUUAAAUACUAAUAAAAAAAACAUACAAACAGCCGAACAGCCCCCUCCUUUUUGGAAAUCGAUUAAAAAUAAUAUUAAUCGUAUUUUUUAACAUUCCUCUAAUUAAGACAAUCGUUUCAGACAAUGUUUUAGAAUAUUUUACCAAGCCUAACGGGAAUGUCCUGCUUAUACUAGAUGGGUAUACGUUUGCUAAAGCCAACAAGAACUCCUACAUUUGGAACUGCUCCAACAAGUGGCGGGGUUGCAAGUCUCGCGUCAGGAUUGAUCACUCCCAAACCAUCACCGAGAGAUACUGUAUACACAAUCACGAGCCACCCAAAUUUGAAUUAGAUGAAGAAGGGAAAUAUGUUAAGAGAUAUAAUAGUAAACACGUUUAUGAAGUUAUCACUCCACACUGAAGAUAUUGAGGCAAAUGAAAACUAAUAUUAUUUAUAGCCUCAAUAGCUCAACGGUAAGAGUGGUUGGACUCAUCACCGAGGGCUGGUGGUUCCAUUCCCGCCCCGUUGGUCUAUUGUCGUACCCACUCCUAGCACAGUCUUUCCUGACUAGUUGGAGGGGUACGGGAAUAUUGUUCAUAUUAUAAAAAAAUAAAGAAAAUAUAAAUAAAAAAAAAUAUUGGUCGAUAAUCCACUGCAAUACAGAAGGCAUACAACACUUGGAAAAUGUAUACAUUUCCUAGGUAUUGUAUUAGGUUUCGAAAUCGUGUUAGGAAAUGUAUAAAAGUGCACUUAAGAAUGGCAAAAUGGUUAGGUUAGAAUUUUUUUUAAUAAUAUAUUUUUGCACAGACUUUUGGUUAUACAAGGUUAGGUUAGGUUGGGUUUUGUUAGAUUCGGAUAAUGCGAUUUAGGAAUUGUAUAAAUUUUCUAGGAAAUGUGUUUAAUAUAAUUUACUAACGCCCGCAACUUUGUCCGUGUGGAAUUCAGUUUUUCACAAAACCCGGGUACCAUGGAUUUUCUGGGAUGUAAAUUAGUCUUGGAGUUUGCUUGGAGUUUUUUUCUUUACCACACGAUGGACCCGGCACGGUGAAUCCAUGGAUUGCUAAGAUAUUCGUCUCAUUUCCUAGGAAUUAUAUACAACACAAGACACGCUAACUUUGGUGCUAGAUGGCGAUGUGUGUAUUGUCCAAAAGAAAAAUACAUUCAUUUCUAUCAGUGUUCUAUACAAGUAUUUCAUUCUCUUGUCCUUCAACCCUCUGGAAGGUCCAGCGGGUCUUUUUGGCUUCGGAUCUCCUAGUUACUUAAAUAGACAAAAAAUUGGGUUAUUGAUUGGGUUAGUAUGUGAUUUAAAUAUUUUAAGUAGAAUAUUAAAUUCAUGUUUAUUUCUAGUUAUGGUAUUUGGUUUUGUAGCUUUUAAUUAUUAUUAUUAUUAUUUAAAUAAAGUUUAUGUUUUAAUUUGGUUUAUGAUUUUGCAAGUGUUCUGAAUUAUUUUUACCUCAAUCUAUUUAUCCAUAUUAUGUUUAAAGCUAUACACCUUUUAUUACUUCGGUCGCAGGUCGCGGUCGCCAAGACCGGAAUGCUAUUUUGUAUGGAAGCUGGCAUUCCUAAUCGAUCCGCCGCCGUUUUUUUUUUUUCGAAAUUGCGAAUCAUCAUGAGAGUGGUAUGUGAGUGUGAAAAGACAGACGAACGAUGGUAUAUUUAAUUUAAAAAGGUUCAUAAUAUAGUACUAUUUUUACUGGUUAUAAUUUUUUACAGGUUUUGAUUAUGAGCUGUCAAAAACGAGACGCGGGAAAGAGCUUUUGGUAUACAAAGGUUAUACUUACACCGCGAAAGUUGGCAGAAAGUACUGGUAUUGUUCAAACGGUAGUUGUAAAGCGAAAGUUCACAUGGACGAUGAUGGGUACAUCAAGUUCUGUUUCACAGAGCACAGCCACAGUCCACCGAAGUUGCACAGAUUAUCCAACGGAGAUAUUAUUCGGUUACAAUAAAAAUAUCUUAAAAACAGACUCAAGUGUAAACUGAACGAAGUGGUAAUGGAAAAAUGUAGAGAAGAUUUAUAGGUACAUGGAUGAAAUUAAAUGUAAAUAUAAUUGUUUGAAAUUAAUUAAUAAAUAAUUCUAUGGAUAACAUUCUAUUUCGAGUCUAACCACUCCUUUCUACUCAUAACCGUGUUUUUAUUAGAUGCGUUAUAUUCAAAGAUAUCAAUGAUUUCAAUCUAUUUUUGAAAAUUGCAUUAAAAUUCGUUGCUUAACUUAUAGACUCUUAAAGCAUAUGGUGGCGGAAAGAGGCUUUAUUUUACCUGUUCUACCUUUAUGUAAAUACUGUUGUAAAAAAAUUUAUGUUAUAUAAUAAUGCUACUGAUAAAAUAUAUUUUACAACAGAACUCAAAAAUAUUUUUAUAAUUGUAAUUUCACACUGUGACGCGUAUUGUCAUUAUAAAUCGAUUUAUAGUAUUUAACGGAGAAGAGUCUGGUAUAAUUCUAUUCCUGGAAGACAACUUGCCUUGGGUAGUAGUGUAUUCGUUGAUAGCACUAACGGCUUUGUGAAUGUAACGUAAAAAAACGUCAACAUAGUAGAAACGCGUCAUCAUCAUCAUAUCAGCCGAUGGACUUCCACAUAAGCAAAUGAUGGACGUCCUACAAAAGUGUAGGGACUUUUAUACACCAUGAUCCUGAGCCACCUGUAUCCAGCAAAUCCCUGCGACUCACUCGAAGUCGAACAAUACUGUGUUUUCUAGUGCCGCGUCGCCAUCGGCUCUUCGAACUAUGCGUUUAUUGCCACUUCAGCUUCGCAACUCGUUGAGCUAUGUCGGUGACUUUGAUUCUCCUGUGGAUCUCCUCAUUUUUGAUUUUCCUGCAGAGAUACUGCGAACAUAGAUCGUUCAAUCGACCACUGUGUGAUUCCGUCUGUCAUCAUCCCUAUCACAAAUGCAUUACAUCGGUACACCGGCGGCUGCGUAAUUCAAAAGUCCACGCGCGACGAGAUGUUCGCGCGAUGUUGCCAGUCAUCGACCAGUGUGGACAAUUAUGUAUCGUGCCUUAUUUUUUAGGUACUUACCCAGGUUAGGGACUUCGGUUUUAUAUGGUUUCUAAUCAGAUAAGGAUUAAGUGCGCUUACAUGCUGGCGUGAGUUAUUAGAUAUAGAGUAUGGAUGAAAUUAAAUGUAAUAAAGUAGUCAUUUAAAAAUACAAAGUUAUAAAAUUAGACAGCAGUUUUUAAACUUUAUACAACUCAACUUCUUAUUUUUAAUUUUCCAGAUUCCUAACUUCUGUCAUCUAAAUCCAAUCUAACCAACAUUUAAUUGUAAUAUUGUAUAAGUUUUACUAGUAGCAGACUCAGCAGUGAUUACAAAAAUAAGAAAACUAAUGUCGCACAACAUUUGUCAGGACCACUUAAUUAACAAAUCUAACUGUAACCAAAAUAAGACCCUAGAAUGGCAGAGAAUGACCUUGAGUGAAGUCACGCACUUGUGAACAUUGUGUUAGUUAAAGGCGCCUUUGACUGUUAACAAACACUCCCCUUUUCCACUCAAGUCACUCUCCCCGCCUAUCCCAAGUAAUUACUAAAGAAUACCACAACAAGAGAUGUGGACGGCUCGAAUGCCACGAGCAAAGAUUACAGUGUAUUAUUGGAAAUAGAUAGGUUACUCUAAUUUUUUUCGGAACGCCUGUGAUAGCGCCAUCUAGUAACUAGCCACGGCUAAAAUAGUAAUGCAUAUUUUUUGUAAAGGAGAGAGAUUUUUGAUUUUGUAAUAGUUGAAGAAACCAAUAGAGAAAAACAAAAAAAAAGACAAAAAGUUUUCCAUUGAUACCCCCGGGCUCGAACUCAGGAUUAUUAGAUCGUAUCUUAGUUGUACACUUGUCUGUCUUUCUUAAAUAAUCCCUUUGCUUUAGAAAUACAAACACAUUCUUCCUAUUACGCGUCAUAAUUAAAAGGAAAAAUAAUUCUUUUUUUUGCGCUUUUUUUUCGUGCUUAUACGGUUUCAAUCUCUAAAAACAUUUUAUUACAUACACACCUUAAGUCAUUGAAUUUACUAUCCUGGAAUCUUAAAUCUAGAAUGUAGAUGGCGCUGCUUCAUAAAGAUUUCACGUUCUUCUAAGUCCCCAUGGCAUGGCCACGAGCACACUGAAGCCGUCCGGACCGCAAAUCGUUGCAACGCGGCUAUAACACUAGGUAUUGUUUUUUUACAGGUUUUGAUUAUGAGCUGUCAAAAACGAGACGCGGUAGGGAGCUUUUGAUAUACAAAGGUUACACUUACACCGCGAGAGUUGGCAGAAAGCACUGGUAUUGUUCAAAUAGUAGUUGCAAAGCGAAAGUUCAUAUGGACGACGUUGGGCAAAUCAAGUAUUGUUUCACAGAGCACAGCCACGGUCCACCGAAAUUGCACAGAUUAUCCAAUGGACAUAUCAUUCGGUUACAAUAAAAACAUAUAAACUAAGCUAGACUAAUUGAUAAUGAUUAGAUAUAGAGAGAAUAAAAAAAAUCCUAUCUUCAGUUUCUUUAAUAUAAUUUGUGUUUUUGUUUGUACAGAUACGUAUAAUUUAAUAAAUUUUGUUGAUUCUGUAAAGGCCUUUAUUUUUUGUGCAAUUUAAAUAGCACGACGGAUUUAAGCCAUUGUUAGACAACCCGACUUGUACAGUUGGAACUAAAAGUUGUUUCAAAUUUAUUAUUAUUACAGAUCUAGAGUAUAAGCUGAUACCUUCGAGGCGGAGCAAUAAGAAGAUGUUAGUGUUCCGGGGAUACACGUUUUCACAAAAUCGUUUUUCCAGAAAUUGGUACUGUUCUAAACAGCAUUCAGAUUGCAAAGCAAAGAUUCAUAUGGAUAAGAACUGGAAAAUCAUUAGAUUUAGAAUAGAUCAUAAUCAUGAUCCACCGAAUUUGUUCAUUACGAAUUCUGGAGAAUACUUUAACAUUUAUUAAAUAUCAUCAUUACCAGGCUAUUUAAUGACAGCACACGCGUACAGCGUACACGCCCCUGAAAGAGAGAAUUGCUCUAAGGAAUUGCUCAAAUUAGGGCUCGAAUGUUUGUUUUGCCUCUGUAACCCAAAAAUUUUAUACUAUAGAUAUGUCACUAGCGUGUUUGACGUGACAAUAGAGGCAAAUUCUUCUCUCAAAUUCAAAUGUAUUAAUGUCAUUUAGUCUCAUUGUAAGAAACGAAAGUCUUUUAAACAAAUAAUACCUAAAUAAUGUCUACAAUGUCGAAUUGAGUAUUCAAGAAGUUUAUUUAAAGACUAUAUAUGCGAUAAGUAAACAUAUAAUUGUGCAUGUGUGCGCUCAAUGGAGUAACUAAAUUCGUAUCACUGUUUGAGUUGUUUUGUAGGCACGUAACAUAUCUUAAAGUAGAAAAUCUUUGCUGUAACCGGCAAAGACCCAGACCGACAGCUUAACUUGCUCUUCGACGUAUAUGUCUAACCGACUCUACCGGCUACAAUACUUACUCAGGGCUGCUACUAAGACUAUUUUAGAAAGAAGAAUUGUGCAGUAUUUCAUUCCAUAUUAAAUUAGAUUGACUAAUAAUGAAAUCGAAAUAUUUGUAAGACGAGAAAAAUUACAUAUUUUUCAUGUAUUUAUUAUACGGUACAUGCAUUAGGUACAUGUUUCAAAAUUAAUCUUAGUUUGUUUGGAUUGUUGUGUUCUCUUGAUAUUCCGGGGUUACUUAUAUAUUACAAUAACUUCCCCAGAAACUGUUACUGUUCAAAACAAUAUUCAGUAUGCAAAAUAUUUUUAAGGAUUUAUUAAAUUGUAAUAUUAUUAUUUGAUUUAAUUGUAUUAUAAUAAGGUUAUUAUUAUUAGAUUUAGAAUAAAUUAUUAACAUGAACCGCCUAACUUGAUUAUUUCCAAUCAAUAAUCUAUUAAGUCAUUCCAUUACAUUAUGUUACGAUAUUAAGUGAUUAAUAAAAUAUAGUUUUACGAUAUAAGAUUACACCAAUGUACUAGAAUUAAAUUAAUAACUUAUUAAUUUAGAAAUGUAAUUAGAUUAUUUUAAAUUAAAUUGAUAAAAUAGUUUACUAUUUUUAGUAAACUAACUAUAUUAAGUUAAAAUAAUAAUACACCCUUGGUAGAAGGGGCAUUCAUCUUAUAGAUUUUGAAUUGAAUUCAAAGGGACAUAUGUGUGAGAUACAAAAAUGUGAGUUUGAAAAGUUACCUGAAUGUAUAAUUUAAAAUUAUUGCUGUAUAUUUAAUACAUUAAUUUUGUAUCUAAUAUAAGAAUACAACUGCACUUGUAGAUUUAUUUAAAUUCCUAUCUGUCUAUCGUCUAGAACGAUUAAGCUAGGACAGUAAGUAGCUUUUGUUUUAGGCGGCAUUUUUACGUAGAGGAAGUCGUUGACGUCCGAUAUAUUGCGACGUGACAGGUAGCAGCGACAGUGAUUGUACCACUAUUUUGUGGCACAGGAAACACCUUGAGCAGGUCCCAGGAUAUCUGACCUUAAGAGUAGGUUUAAAGGAUCAUUUCAGAAUGCAAAAACAUUCGCCUUCCCUGCCUGACAUGUUGUAACCCAAUCUGAAAUCACUAACGCAACUGGCAGCGUGACGGUGUCUACGCUGCCUAACAAAAAAGUGAGCUCAAGUCAUCAAAUACCCUAUUAUUUAUACCAUCACUGAUACCUCCCCUCUGCAAUAACAUAAAUAAUGAAUGUUAAAUACCAUCCGUAAUCGAGGAACUUGUAACAUUCUCUAAAAGUUUCACUACCAUCUAUAAUUUAAAAUCUCAACUUCCAGAUCCAAAAAGUUCAAAUGACAUUUUUGAAAACACAAUUGUGCAAAUGAAGAAAGAAUUUACGGAAAGAUUAGAUAAGCUGCUAAGCCGUAAGAAAAGUAACAGUAUCAACUAUAUAAAUCAAUCUCGGUACCAGGAUUUCAUAGAAGAAGUGAAAGUACUGAAAAAUAAAUGGCCCAAGGAAUACGAAGAUUAUAAAACACUUUCAAACUACGACGUUUUGGAAGUUAACGGUAGAUAUAGACUUAUUAAACCGAAGGAUGAGGGGAAUAACAUUAAAUUCUACAUACCAACAAAUGAAUUAUUCGGUGCUCUACAUACAAUGCAUAUUUUACAUAACCAUUCUGAUUUAGAUACUUUAGAAACGCAUAUGAAAAGUAAAUAUUGUAACAUAUCCAAAGAAGUUAUCAAAAUGUAUCGUUUGUGUUGUACCUUAUGUAACCAAAAAUUAAGUUAACAUUGGUGGUAAACUCAAAAGUAUGGAAGCAUUUUUAGCACUCGAAAAAUCCAAAAUAGACUAUUAGAAUAUCGCUUGAAUAUAUUUAAAUAUACAAUAUUAAUUUAUCAAGUCUUAAAAUUAUUAAUAAUAAACUACUAAAUAUUAUUAUUAUUACUGACCUUGUAAUAACUAGCUCUAUUCAACGAAUUUUAGGCUUGAUUAUAAUAAGAAAUAAGAUUAGUUUUAUAUUUAAUUACUAUUAUGCUUAUGUUUUCUAAUAAACAAUUUUAUAACAACGUGGGGAUAUUUUUAUUGAAUUUCAGUUCUUGUUCUUUAGGAUGACAGACAAUUACUUGGUCAUAGAUUUAUAUCUAUGAUUAAGACUUUCAAAGUGCAAUGGUCAAUAUUUUAUAAAAAUACAGCACUAUUAUUUUUCGGGUGAAACAUGAAUAAAACAUACAUCAAAAGUAUCAAUGAAAUGUACAAAAUGAUACCGUUCUAAAAGCAAUAUAUUUUAUGCAAGUGUUUGUCUGUUCCAACAUCAAGUUGGGCAAAUACAAUACACCUUAUUACAUUUAAUUCCUUGGUUUAAGGCAUUUUUUCUUACGGUUACUUUUUUUCAGUCAUGUUCAUGAUCUCACGCGACGGUGAGAAGUUGAUGAAGUUUGGCGACUUUACGUUCACUCGGGAAGUCCUCGUGAGCUCCGGGGACAAGUGGUGUUGGUCCUGUUACACGCACAACCAUUACGGGUGUCAAGCGAGGGUGUAUACCGACCAAAAUAAACUGGUCUUCGCUAAGAAUUCGCACAACCAUUUACCAACAGAAUUCUUUGUAUGACAGAUUGACAAUGCUGUCGAUCUCCAUUAGAUCUGACAGUUUAUGUAUGCUUUAAUAGUAAUUUGAUUGAUGCCAACCUUCCGACUUAGAUUGAUAAAUUUGCCAUUUUACAUGUUUAAUACAUGACUUUAAUCAUUAUUUGUCUGUUACAAUGGUCUAUUGCAGGCUACAAUGUAAAUUUAAAUUGAUUUCUAUAAUCAUUAUAAUUACCGAUACUAUAAUGAUUUUAUACAUUUUUAUUCUUAUUUAACUUAUAACAUAUAUUUAUUACAAAAAAAGUUUUGAUAGGUGGCCAAUAAAUUCAAACAAUUGCGGGAGUUAGUUUAGCGCGCCGACUAAGUUGGUAGGUCGGCUCCAAUCAAAUUGGUACGUCUGUUAAGGUUAUUACUCAUAUAAAUGACUCGACAAGUAAUAAUCAUACUAUAUUAUCUUCUCUAGCGGAUAGAGAAUAUAAUACGGUGCUAAAUAUGUGAUAGUAGUGAUCUCUUAAUACAAAUCUCUUGCCUUAUUUUUGCAUGUAGUAAUAUAUUAGUACAAAUUUAGUGGCAUAAUCGUUUUGUUUUCAGUAUUAUAGUAUUAAUUGGAGUUUCUACUGUCGACACAACUCUAUAUAUUAUUGUACCUAUUUAGUUAAUUUAUAAUUUCACCUUCACAUAUUAUAUUGUACUGUUUGAAUGCACACAUAGUAAGAUUUUAGAAGUGACCUUUAUUUUGUAACACUAUUUAUUAUUUUUUUUGAAGUAAACUUUUGAUAUAAAUUUGACUUUCUUUCCAUAGAAAGCUCUAACUUUCUAGAAAAAACGCUAGAGCUCCUAAGAGCCUUCAGUUGUUUUUAUUUUAAUCAAUUUGAAAAGGGGGUUUCAAAAACCGCUGAUCAGAUUUAAAUGGGGUUUCCUUAUUUGCUUGCAUAUUUUCAAACAAAGUUAUGUAUUAACUUUAUUUGAAAAAAUAGCAUAUGCGGCUUCCUUCGGUCUUAGAACUCCCCUCUCGCAAAAUCCGUCCUUAGAGCUACGUCUACUAACUGUUAACUACCUCCGUGCCAAAUUUCACAGAACGGUCUGCCGUAAGGCCGACCAAUCAGGGGAAAGUUGACGUUUUAAGAUUGCAAUUUAACGGUUUCACAUCCGAUAGAUUUUAGCAUACCGAAAAAUAACACGUUAAAUCGUAAUCAGUAUUUUCAGUUCACAAUAUGACGGUAGAUUAUAUUGUCACGAGUGAGAUUAUAAACUAACGUAUUUUACAAUUUAACGGUAACAUAUACGUAUUAAGAUGAAGAUAAGCCAUUAUGGCUAUACCUACUCUACAGCCGUUUAUCACAAAUCCUGGGCUUUUUUUCUCUGAAUUUCUCUCAGCCACGUAAUGGACCUGGCGCCGGCGCGGUGAAACCAUAGAAUGCUAAUAUAUUCGUCUCGUUUAACCUUUUAAGUACUGUUCAUAAGGGCAUUGAUUUAUUUCCAGUAGUAGCAACAAUGUUGAAGUCCAGAAGAGGCAAGCCGCUGAUCCUCUACGACCGUUACACGUACUGUCGUCACUCCACGGUGACCUACGGCAGGACGCGGUGGGUGUGCUCCACCCACUCGUACAGAUGCUGCAAGGCGGUGGUCAUUACUCGGGGCAACAUCAUCGAGGAAAUCAAAGGCUACCACAACCACGCUUCUUCGGAGUUGUUGAUCAAUAGAUUGCUAUUCUAAUUUUAUUGAAGAGUUCGUAAGGACUUUUUCGUUUUUUUUUUUUUUAAUUUUGUACCGAAUUUUUUUUUGACUGGCAUCUCAAAUUCUUUUCACAUUCAUACUCUUUGCUUGUUUGCGUAAGAUGUGAAGUGACACAAAUUUUAUUUAUUUUUACCCCGCGGUCACACAUAUUGCUAUAAAAUUCAUAGUUUAUGUUUAUAGUUCACUUAUUGAAAAAAUGUCAUAUUUAAUGUAAGGAAGUUGUAUGAAUUUUCGUCUAAUUACAAUAAGAGAUUUUUAAUAGAUUUGAAAUUUUUUAAUCUUGAUUAUUUUGCAAAUAUACAGACAAUCUUUGCCUUUUAUGUAUAAAUUAGUUAACAUCGACCUUAUUUAACCGAAUGUAUCAUAAAAAUCAAUAUAUAUUCAAACCUAGUCAUCAUCCCCAUUACUACGCUUUCGUCAUACCCUUCGCCCUGUGUGGCGCAGAAGGUGGAAGGAGAUGGUUAAGUCAGCCAUUGACGGUCAAUUAUUCUCACGUUUCUGUAGCGCAAACGGCAGCGAAGACAUUUCAUAAGUCGAGCCGUUAUGCACGCAGUGACGACACCAAUACACAAUCAGUUAUAGUCGUGGGUGCUGCAGAAAUGUGAUAAUAAUUGAUCGUCAAUGGCGUGCAUUAUGUAGUUAAUCUUUUGAUCUCAUUUUCACCUAUAAAGAUUUCAUAUGAUUGUCAUUAUAUGUACUAGUCAUUAUAUUACGUAUAUGUAGUCUAUUUAGUAAUUGUAAAAGAGUUAAAACAAUUUAAUUGAAAUAAAAAAUGAUCUCUAAAGUUAUAUCAGAAUCCGUUCAGUAGUUUUAGUGUGAAAAAGUAACAAAUCUAUCCAUUCUCAUUGACUUCCAGAUUUGUUAAUGUUAGUAGAAUUACGUUAACUUUACUAUGUUUACUCUGAACUCAGAAUUCAAAAGAGUGUGCAGGUAAAAACAACAAGAACCCAAUGUUCUAUAUAUACAAAUUAGUAUAUAGCGAUUUUGUGAUGUGAUUAAAAGUACCUAUUUAAUUUGUGUGAUAUUCUUAAUAAAAAUAACGAGUAGGUAUUGUACGUACAAAUAUAAAAGGCUUUUAUUGAGUAACGUAUAAUAACGUAGUAUAAGUUACGAUGACUUUUAUAUCCAAAAACUUUUAAUUUAGACAGGCAGAUGCAGAUCUAUUCUAUAAGUAUAUAGAUAUAGAAGAACGAUCGACUCAUUUAUGGGUAUACUAUAAAUGAGUCGAUCGUUCUUUUUUGUGAACCCCGAUAGUUGUGAUAAAAACUUUACCGAAUUUUGUUUUUGUAAACUAUAUGAAAUAAAGAGUGCUUUUAUAAAUAAAUUAAAUUAAAUAGAAUAUAAAAUUUGCAUAAUUUAUUUAACCUACAAAAUCAUCUGCCCCUUUACACUGCGAGCAUAUGAUAGCGAGACAUUCGUGAUUUUAUAAAAGUUGAAUGUCUCUCUGCCCAUGCUCCUUUCAUAGGUAGGUAAGUACUGUAAGCAAUUAUAGAGUUUCUGAUCAUAGUGUCUUUAGGACCUUGUUUAGUUUCAAGGGUCAGUUGUGGAAAUGACGUAAUGUCAUUGGAUCAUGAGGUCUUGGGUCGGCUACAAAAUAUUAGGAUUUCUUUCGUCCCGGUCAUUAUUAGUGUAAUCAAUGUGAUCGUAAAGCAUCCUGAUAACGAUCGAAUAUUCGGUCAAAUAAUAUGGUGUUUGUCAAAUAAUUUGAUAGCUUGCGGUUACACACGCAAACAAACAAACAAACAAGUUUGUCAAACAUGUUUAGUCGUUUACAGCGUGCUUUACACCCUUACCUUUUUGUCGACACAAAGGUACAUUAUCACAGUCCAUUAAACAGUAUUUGAACAUCGUGCUGGAAUUAAACGAAAAUGAAAUAUAUACUAACUUUUUAUUAAUUAUACAGGAUGCUCGGGAGUAUUUCCCAUAACUUAAAGGUGUUGACGAGCCCUCUUAUAGAAACCGAACUGCAUAACUAAUAUUAUUUUUACUAAAAAAUAAAAACUUUUUAAAUUUUCGCACGCCUUUAUCUAUCCUUACUUUUAAAUACGUAAAACUUGGCUUUCGUCACAGUUAUGAGGAUGCGUAGGUAUAAGGGAUACAAGUUAAGAUCUAUUUACAAACGAAAUAUUAUUUACCCCGAAAAUAUAAAUUUAAAAACACAUAUUCCUUGAACAUUGUUAAUUAAUUUUCGGUAAAGAAUAUAAACCCAGAGUUAUGGGAAAUACUCCCCAGCACCCUGUAUAAAUUACGAAGAGGUAAUUGGUCCAACUUUUUAAAAUCUCUGUUCUAAUAUUCGGUGUCAUAGUUGCAGUUACGUACCAGUUGUCAAAAAAGGGGAGGCCGAUGAUGGUCGUGAACGGUUACAAGUACUCCCUCCAUUAUGCGCGGAACUCCAGGGAACGGUGGCAGUGCAGCAGACGAAGCACCUUCGGCUGUAAGGCUGUCAUACACACGUUGCAUGGAGUCACCAUCAAUUGUAAUAUAAGACACAACCAUCCUCCUUAGAAUGGGGUCCGAACAUUUGUAUGGAAACUAGCAUAAUUAAACUGACGCCAGAUGGAGCACCUUCGGUAGCAAGGCUGUCACACGUUGCAUGGAGUCACCAUCAAUUGUAAUAUAAGACACAACCAUCCUCCUUAGAAUGGGAUGGGAUUCCUACUUGUUUAUAAGGAAACUGGCAUAAUUAAACGGACGUCAUUUUGAUUAAUUUAAAUUAAAACUCGAAUGUAUGUAGCAAUUUGAAUUAUGGCCUUGGCCAAUUUGUAAAUUAUGUAAAUAUUUCUGGAACCAUAUCUAUAAAAUGGUGACGAAAAUAAUUUAUUUUUCUAAAUUAAAAUGUGAGUUAACAAAGUAGUUUUAUUUCGAGAAUGACCGAAGGGAUAUACUUAUACGCCAUUUUGACUAUUGUGGGAUAAGAUUAUUGAUUAUUUAGAGGAGAAAGGGAAAGAUUGAUCAUGUUUAAAAAGAUACGACUAAUGGUUUUUGUUUUUAUUUUUUUAUAAUAAUAAUUUAAUUUAUAAUUUUUAGCAUUACUUUAUUACUGCAUACUUUAUUUAUAAAACACAAAGAGUACAAAUACUUACUUAAAAAUACUUAUCAAAAUUUGCCGCCUUUGGUAGGGUGCCCAUCACGCAGGCAGCAUUCACACGUUGAAUUUAAAUUGAAAUUCUUUGCGCGAGAAAGUUGCCUGCCCGUUUGCUUAACUCAUUUAUAGCAUUUAAAUUUAAUUGUUAUAUAUUUUAUUUUAAAUUUCAGCGUUUGAAAACCAACCAAUCAUAAAACCAUCAUGCCCUGUAUGCGGGGACGUAGUCUCGGGCACUCACUACGGGGUCUCGACGUGCGAAUCUUGCAAGCUGUUCUUCAAAAGGUCCGUGCAGAUGAACAAGCAGUUUGAAUACUCCUGUACGAGGUACCGGGGUGUUAACUCCAGUCGCGGAACUUAUGGGGUUUGUUACAUAAACGUGGCAACUCGGUCGAUAUGUCGCCACUGUAGAUUCAAUAAGUGCAUUUUAGCGGGUAUGCAGCCAAUAAUGGUCAGAAAGCAAAGCUCUCGUUCAAUUAUUAGGUUUUAAAUUCAAUUUUAUAUAGGCCAGUCCAGCUGGCCUAUUCACUAUUUUAUUAUUUUUUUAUUAUUAAAUAAACAUCAAAUCAAUUGAAUCAAAAUGUGAUUUACCUACUGUGUGAUAUCCACCAGUAAGCACCGGAUGACAUAUUUACAUUGAAUCUUGAUUUUGUAUAUGUCAACUAGCAUAAGUCAAAGAUAGUGAAUUAGCCGGCUGGAACCGAGGAACAUUCUUACAAUUGAUAACUGUCAAUAUAAUUUUCCGCGAGUAGCUUCAUCUUGGUGAGACGAUUCAACUCUUUAUAUUUUGAAAAUUCUUAAUUUUAGUACUUACUAUAGUGCAAUGAUUUUAAACUUAUUUCGUGGUUGUUCAUUAUGAAUAUCAUUUAAACGGGUACAUGCAACUGGGUCGAAAUAUCGACAUUAAAAAUCUCGUCGUUUUAUCGUGGUAUGUACCCGUUUAAAUAAUAUUCAUACUAUAGUGCAAUUCAAUAAAAUUUUAUAGUUAUAUUUUAUCGUUUAUUAACAUGUGAUAGUGUUCGUUAAUGCAUUUAAUAAUACCACACGCAUUGGAGCAGCGUGGUGGGUCGAACCUCCAUAUCCCUUCUCUUAUAAAGAGGGACUGGCCUGGCCCUGGUAUUGUAUUUAAUUCUUUAUUAGGUAGGGUUUAUUUUUAAACUCUACCUCUCAUUACGAAAAUACAUACAUUACGAGCUCUUCCACAUAGCCCAGUGGCGUGCACAAGGUGCACUCGUUUUUAACAAGGUAGGCACCACACAUCCUAAUUGUACACAAUGGUAAAUUCCUCCUCCAUUACUGGUCUUUAAUGUGUCCUCAGGGUGAACUUUAAUCUUAAUUGAUCUAAAACUUUAAUGGACUUCCUAUGCUAGGAGUCCACAUAUCCGCAUCUUACCUAUUUAUCGGACGCAUGGCGUCAAACGGAUUUUUAAUUUUACGGUAGAUUCGUACGAUGAACGCACUUGUGUGACUUUCUAUACAAAGAAUACUAGGAUCCGUUUGUUGCGAAGCAUCCGAUACGUACGUUGCGGAUAUGUGGACGCCUACCAUAAAGAAAAGGUCUAUCUUCGGCUGUAUGUAUGUUUAUUUUAAAUAUUUAGUAUUCAAGUGCAAUUAGACUGUAAAUUAACUUUUUUAUAUACUCAUAGUGAAAUUAUUUACAUUCUGUAAAAUAGUGUGGAUAGGUUAUUUUAGUGUAAAUUAUAUUUAAUUGUGCUCAUAAACAGUUAUACCAAUUUAAUAUAUGUAGAUAGAGUUAUAUACAUAUGCAUUUUUUACUCUUUUUUAAUAAAAAAUAAGAAAAAAUAUAUAAUGCCUAACUGCCGUUAACGGUUAUUUUUUCCUAUUUACGUAAAUCUUCUGUGAUUUUAUUUUAUUAUCAUCAGUUAUAUUAUAACUGAUAAUAUAAUAAUAUUAUAAAGAGAUAUUAAUAUUCGUAUGCAAUUAGGAUAUUGUUAUUAUUUCAAUAUAAAUUUACUAAAAUUAAUAUCGAAUUGUAUGAUUUAGCAAAAAACUUGUUUGACUGUGUUGUAAAUUAUGUUUCUUUAUAAUAUUGCUAAAUAAUAUGCUAAAUAACUGCUUGAAUAUAGUAAAUUUGCAUGGUUUUAGUAAAUAUAAUUUGUUUUUCCUUUAAAAAAAAGGUAACAGAUUGGUGAAAGUUAUUUGGCUCUUUAAACUAUUAAAGUAUUAAUAUUAAAAAUGUCAAUAAUUUGGCAAUUACUUUUUCUUGAUUUACAUUAAAGAUUUAAGAAGUAUUACGAAUCAAAUCAAAAUUAAAAAAAUUAUUAACUUGUAUUUCGUUAUUAUUGUCUAAAGUGGUGGAGGGAAAUGUUAAAAUGUAUUUUAAUAUACAGUUAUUUACAAGUUUUUAUAUUUUAUGUAGUAAUUUUAUUUAAAACUUAUAUGUAUAUCUUUACAUACUUGUAUUUAUAUUAUGCACAACUGUCGUUGAUACAAUCUGUCACCGACGGGGAAAUUCGCCAGUGAGGUAUGGAUUCAAUGCCCGUCGGUUUACAAUGUUUGUAAAAAAAAAAUUACUUCAAAUAAAGCUUAAAUGUUCAAAUAUA